rnacentral:rRNA from 1 species
AGAGUUUGAUCCUGGCUCAGGAUGAACGCUAGCGGCAGGCUUAACACAUGCAAGUCGAGGGGUAGCAGGAUUUAGUUUACUAGAUUGCUGACGACCGGCGCACGGGUGAGUAACGCGUAUACAAUUUGCCUUUUACUGAAGAAUAGCCCAGAAAAAUUUGGAUUAAUGCUUCAUAGUUUUGUUUGGUCACCUGGCCGAGUAAUUAAAGCUCCGGCGGUAAAAGAUGAGUAUGCGUCCUAUUAGCUAGAUGGUAAGGUAACGGCUUACCAUGGCGACGAUAGGUAGGGGUCCUGAGAGGGAGAUCCCCCACACUGGUACUGAGACACGGACCAGACUCCUACGGGAGGCAGCAGUGAGGAAUAUUGGGCAAUGGAGGCAACUCUGACCCAGCCAUGCCGCGUGCAGGAAGACUGCCCUAUGGGUUGUAAACUGCUUUUAUACAGGAAGAAACUUAUCCACGUGUGGGUAACUAACGGUACUGUAAGAAUAAGGACCGGCUAACUCCGUGCCAGCAGCCGCGGUAAUACGGAGGGUCCAAGCGUUAUCCGGAAUCAUUGGGUUUAAAGGGUCCGUAGGCGGGCAAUUAAGUCAGAGGUGAAAUCCCACAGCUCAACUGUGGAACUGCCUUUGAUACUGGUUGUCUUGAGUUACAGUGAAGUAGAUAGAAUAUGUAGUGUAGCGGUGAAAUGCAUAGAUAUUACAUAGAAUACCGAUUGCGAAGGCAGUCUACUAACUAUAUACUGACGCUAAUGGACGAAAGCGUGGGGAGCGAACAGGAUUAGAUACCCUGGUAGUCCACGCCGUAAACGAUGGUCACUAGUUGUUGGGGUCUUGUACCUCAGUGAUUAAGAGAAAUUGAUAAGUGACCCACCUGGGGAGUACGAUCGCAAGAUUGAAACUCAAAGGAAUUGACGGGGGCCCGCACAAGCGGUGGAGCAUGUGGUUUAAUUCGAUGAUACGCGAGGAACCUUACCAGGGCUUAAAUGUAAGUUGCAUGAUCUAGAGAUAGGUCUUUCUUCGGACUACUUACAAGGUGCUGCAUGGUUGUCGUCAGCUCGUGCCGUGAGGUGUCAGGUUAAGUCCUAUAACGAGCGCAACCCCUACCGUUAGUUGCCAGCAUGUUAUGAUGGGGACUCUAGCGGGACUGCCGGUGCAAACCGAGAGGAAGGUGGGGAUGACGUCAAAUCAUCACGGCCCUUACGUCCU